UGGACUUUUAGUGUGCUCAUUAUUUUCAGAGGAUAAGUUGAAUAGCAUUAUUUGUGAAAGUUUGACUAGAAGGCAAUAUUAUCUCUUAAAGAUGGGGAGGAAAAUAUCUAUUGAACAAGGAAGCAAACUCCUCCUUAUAAAAAGUAGCCAUGACAUAAGAGAAAGGCCUGAUGGUUGUAGUGGGCCACAAGCUGGAAGAGGGGUGUUCUUUUUGAGAUAAUCGUGGUAAUACGAUAUAGUAACAGGAGUAAUACAUUCAAGGCCAAGGUGUAACCCAUCCAGGAUGUUUCCAGUGGCCCAACAGGCGCUGGUGGCACGAAUUUUUACCAAUAGCUGACUCUCCUAAACAAACACAUUGUCAAAAUGAAUUAAAACCAAUCAUUUUAUGUAUUUCUGUAUGCACAAUGCCUUCAGUGAUGGGUUUGAUUAUAAUGGGUUAUAUUAAUUGAUUCUCAUUCUACUCUACAAAUUAUACAAAUUAGUAUUUUAAGCUAAAUAUUCUCUCCGUUUUGUUUGGUUGGUUAGUUGGUUUUAUCCCCUCCCGACUGAUGAUAGCAUCUAGCUCGGGAUGGCUGCUUCUCCCUAACUCCCUGGAUGCUGGUAGUGCCAGUGUAUGUGAAAAUCCUUUAACCAAAGCUCAUAGACAGGAGGAUAAAAUCCAGUCUCUGUUACUCAACCUUAGCAAGAAGCAGAAGUCAGAACUUCAAUUUUGGAGUCACCUAGAUUUGGGUUAAUUGGCUGACUUUGUUCCUUGACUCGUGUGACCUCAGUCAAAUUAUAUAAACUGCCUGAGCCUCAGUUUGUUUUCUGUUAAAUGGGGUAAACAAACUUCCUCAAUACGGUGCCACAGGACAGAAGGAGAAAAUGUGUAUAGCACGUGGUAUGUGUUGAAAAAAGAGAAGGUAAGCAGGCAGGAAACAUGGAAGAAAAAGUGUCCCUUGAAGAGACUGAGAAUUGAAUCGAGCAGGAGAGAUGGCG